CUUCCCAAGUAACCUGCUUAGAUGUCUAGAGUUGUAUUGGGCAGGACUGGGAGCUGUUGGAAAGAGGGUCGCUGCAGAUGUAGCUCUGGAGGGGUAUCACCCACAGUGGGCUGCACCUUCCCACAGUCAGUAAUAAGUCAAAAAAAUGCCCCACGCGCCAAUCUGAGGAGGUCAGUUCUCCCCUUGAGCGUCUCCUUCCUCGAUGACUCUAUUUUCUGUCAAGUUGACAAAUCAACAAACAGACAAACAAACUCACCAGCACCUUGGGAAGCCACCCAACAAGUGUGACCAGGGAGCUACAGCUUCAGGGCACGCCAGUGUGCAUGCAGGCCAGCCAUAAGAAGCCAACCUUAACACCUGCUCUUCCCUUUGAGAGAAAAGUCCCUCCCCAGAGAGAUAACACUAAAUUUGGAUCCUUUCUGAUGUCAUAGUCUAUCAGUUUAAUUUGACUUUAAUGGUAUGCGCAGACUUAGUGCAAAAGGUGUGCAGCUAGCCAGCCCACAGUGGUAAAAUGUCCCACUGUUUUCCACGGUGGGAAAAAAAAAUCAGCUAAGAAUAAGAGCAUUAGCCAGGCAGUGGUGGCCCACGCUUUUAAUCCCAGCACUUCGGAGGGCGAGGCAGACAAAUCUCUGUGAGUUCGAGGCUAGCCAGGUCUACAGAGCUACACAGAGAAACCCUGUCUCAAAAAGGAAUGAGAGGGUUAGUUUGCAGAGAGCAGCGGUGCUCCUGGGCAGUUUCAGAGUGGAUGGAAGCACAGAUUUCUCAGUAACCCCCCCCCACACACACACACACAUUGUUUCCUCAGUCUGCUCUCUUGUGAUUGGUGUUCACCCAGUCCUCCAAGCCAAUACAUCUCCAACAGAACUGCUAGGGACAUCAGAUGCUGUACCACACUGGAGUUUGUUUUGGAAGAGUGACAUUCUGAGCACAAAGGUUAAGUCCAUUAUCCUCAUGGUGGCACGCAGGCAGACCUGGUGCUGGAGAAGUUGCUGAGAGUCGAACAUCUUGACCUUCAAUCAACAGGAAGAAAACUGAGACAUACCAAAGGAGCAUCUCAAGGACAGAAGUACUGAGCCAUGAGGUUUCUUAUUGUGCAGUUUUACCAGCCCGGACUGAACAGCAUUUAUCAUGGAUGAUUGAAGAGGGAAUCAAAGGUUACCUGGUGGCUUGGACCUGUUCAUCACCGCUGUCCCUCACAACAUCUGGUUCUGUGUGACUUACCAUGAAAGAUCAUCUUAGAAAACUCUAUAGUUCUGAUGUCAACAUUUCUGUCCUUUAUUCUCACUGGAGACUGGCAGGAACACGAAUACUAGUCUAAUUAGAUACCUUCCUGUCUUCCAAAUUCAUUGUUCCUGCGAGUUUAUAAGUCUGUUUGGACAACUCCUUGUAUGUAGGGGACCUCAGUACUUUACCCUGCUGAGCCAUGUCCUCUCUCGCCUUCAAGAACUUCCCGGGAAGUCUUUCCACCCCA
rnacentral:lncRNA from 1 species